rnacentral:rRNA from 1 species
UUAAGCACUCCGCCUGGGGAGUACGACCGCAAGGUUGAAACUCAAAGGAAUUGACGGGGGCCCGCACAAGCGGUGGAGCAUGUGGUUUAAUUCGAAGCAACGCGAAGAACCUUACCAGGUCUUGACAUCCUUUGACCACUCUAGAGAUAGAGCUUUCCCUUCGGGGACAAAGUGACAGGUGGUGCAUGGUUGUCGUCAGCUCGUGUCGUGAGAUGUUGGGUUAAGUCCCGCAACGAGCGCAACCCUUAUUGUUAGUUGCCAUCAUUUAGUUGGGCACUCUAGCGAGACUGCCGGUGACAAACCGGAGGAAGGUGGGGAUGACGUCAAAUCAUCAUGCCCCUUAUGACCUGGGCUACACACGUGCUACAAUGGGAAGUACAA